rnacentral:rRNA from 1 species
GACGAACGCUGGCGGCGUGCUUAACACAUGCAAGUCGAACGGUGAAGCGCCUUCCUUUUUGGUGGGUGUGGAUGAGUGGCGAACGGGUGAGUAACACGUGAGUAACCUGCCCCCUUCUUCUGGAUAACCGCAUGAAAGUGUGGCUAAUACGGGAUAUUCUGGGUCUGUCGCAUGAUGGGUCUGGGAAAGAUAUUGUUUCGGUGGGGGAUGGGCUCGCGGCCUAUCAGCUUGUUGGUGGGGUGAUGGCCUACCAAGGCGGUGACGGGUAGCCGGCCUGAGAGGGUGGACGGUCACACUGGGACUGAGACACGGCCCAGACUCCUACGGGAGGCAGCAGUGGGGAAUAUUGCACAAUGGGCGCAAGCCUGAUGCAGCGACGCCGCGUGAGGGAUGGAGGCUUGCGGGUUGUGAACCUCUUUCGCCAGUGAAGCAGGCCUGCCUCGUUUGUGGGUGGGUUGACGGUAGCUGGAUAAGAAGCGCCGGCUAACUACGUG